rnacentral:rRNA from 1 species
CUCGAGGCCAGAUCUAGAGUUUGAUCCUGGCUGAGAUUGAACGCUGGCGGCAUGCCUUACACAUGCAAGUCGAACGGCAGCAUGGGAGCUUGCUCCUGAUGGCGAGUGGCGAACGGGUGAGUAAUAUAUCGGAACGUGCCCUAGAGUGGGGGAUAACUAGUCGAAAGACUAGCUAAUACCGCAUACGAUCUACGGAUGAAAGUGGGGGAUCGCAAGACCUCAUGCUCCUGGAGCGGCCGAUAUCUGAUUAGCUAGUUGGUGGGGUAAAAGCCUACCAAGGCGACGAUCAGUAGCUGGUCUGAGAGGACGACCAGCCACACUGGGACUGAGACACGGCCCAGACUCCUACGGGAGGCAGCAGUGGGGAAUUUUGGACAAUGGGGGCAACCCUGAUCCAGCAAUGCCGCGUGAGUGAAGAAGGCCUUCGGGUUGUAAAGCUCUUUUGUCAGGGAAGAAACGGUAGUAGCUAAUAUCUAUUACUAAUGACGGUACCUGAAGAAUAAGCACAGGCUAACUACGUGCCAGCAGCCGCGGUAAUACGUAGGGUGCAAGCGUUAAUCGGAAUUACUGGGCAUAAA